CAGGACUCCUGGGUUCUCUACCCAGAUUAGCAGAGACAUGGUUUUAUGGAUGGUACCAGCCUCUGGGAGCCAGGACGCCUAGAGUGAACAGGUACCCUGAGAAUUUCCAGACAGAUCAUAAAUGAACCUCUGGCCUCAGCACGGAGGAUAUCAUACAAUGCAAGAAUAGGCUGACACCAAUUGCUAUCUUGAGAAAGAAGAAUGAGCUAGAGAAGAAUGGGAUGAUGACCGAAGGCCUGGCCACCAGCAUAUCCCGGGCCCUGGAGCGGUUGGUGGGCUUCAAGCAGGACAUCCAAACGCACUGGUUAUCAGGGAAUAUCCAGCUUGUUGUCCAGGCUGAUGGUUGCUGGCUAGAGUUCAGAGCAGGAGCUGCCAAUGUCACAGUGCUGGUGUGGUACGACCAGUACAAGAAGGAGGUCAAAGUCUUCAACACCUGCUGAGGAGAGAUGAACAUGAUGGAUAUCCCUCCACAUGUCAGUCCUUCCCCAAAUAAAUGCCUCUGGUUGCA